rnacentral:rRNA from 1 species
AUUGAACGCUGGCGGCAGGCCUAACACAUGCAAGUCGAGCGGAGCGGCGGACGGGUGAGUAAUGCAUAGGACUCUGACUGAUAGUGGGGGAUAACGUACGGAAACGGGAGCUAAUACAGCAUCCUAUCAGCUGAGACUAGGUCGGAUUAGCUAGUUGGUAGGGUAAGGGCCUACCAAGGCGACGAUCCGAAACUGGUCGGAGAGGAUGAUCAGUCACACGGGAACUGAGACACGGUCCAGACUCCUACGGGAGGCAGCAGUGGGGAAUAUUGCACAAUGGGCGAAAGCCUGAUCCAGCCAUGCCGCGUGUAUGAAGAAGGCCUUCGGGUUGUAAAGUACUUUCAGUCGGGAGGCGUUACCUACAGAAGAAGCACCGGCUAACUCCGUGCCAGCAGCCGCGGUAAUAC